rnacentral:rRNA from 1 species
CAAGGUUUCCGUAGGUGAACCUGCGGAAGGAUCAUUACCGAGUGAGGGCCCUUUGGGUCCAACCUCCCACCCGUGUUUAUUUACCUCGUUGCUUCGGCGGGCCCGCCUUAACUGGCCGCCGGGGGGCUCACGCCCCCGGGCCCGCGCCCGCCGAAGACACCCCCGAACUCUGCCUGAAGAUUGUCGUCUGAGUGAAAAUAUAAAUUAUUUAAAACUUUCAACAACGGAUCUCUUGGUUCCGGCAUCGAUGAAGAACGCAGCGAAAUGCGAUACGUAAUGUGAAUUGCAAAUUCAGUGAAUCAUCGAGUCUUUGAACGCACAUUGCGCCCCCUGGUAUUCCGGGGGGCAUGCCUGUCCGAGCGUCAUUGCUGCCCUCAAGCCCGGCUUGUGUGUUGGGCCCCGUCCUCCGAUUCCGGGGGACGGGCCCGAAAGGCAGCGGCGGCACCGCGUCCGGUCCUCGAGCGUAUGGGGCUUUGUCACCCGCUCUGUAGGCCCGGCCGGCGCUUGCCGAUCAACCCAAAUUUUUAUCCAGGUUGACCUCGGAUCAGGUAGGGAUACCCG